rnacentral:rRNA from 1 species
ACAGAGGGGGCAAGCGUUGUUCGGAAUUACUGGGCGUAAAGGGCGCGUAGGCGGCCUUCUAAGUCGAACGUGAAAUCCCCGGGCUCAACCCGGGAACUGCGUCCGAUACUGGAAGGCUUGAAUCCGGGAGAGGGAUGCGGAAUUCCAGGUGUAGCGGUGAAAUGCGUAGAUAUCGAGAGGAACACCUGAGGUGAAGACGGGUUGCUGGGCCGACACUGACGCUGAGGCGCGAAAGCCAGGGUAGCAAACGGGA